rnacentral:rRNA from 1 species
UACGUAUGUCGCGAGCGUUAUCCGGAAUUAUUGGGCAUAAAGGGCAUCUAGGCGGCCGGAUAAGUCUGGGGUGAAAACUUGCGGCUCAACUGCAAGCCUGCCCUGGAAACUAUGCGGCUAGAGUACUGGAGAGGUGGACGGAACUGCACGAGUAGAGGUGAAAUUCGUAGAUAUGUGCAGGAAUGCCGAUGAUGAAGAUAGUUCACUGGACGGUAACUGACGCUGAAGUGCGAAAGCUAGGGGAGCAAACAGG